rnacentral:rRNA from 1 species
AGAGUUUGAUCCUGGCUCAGGAUGAACGCUGGCGGCGUGCCUAACACAUGCAAGUCGAGCGAUUCUCUUCGGAGAAGAGCGGCGGACGGGUGAGUAACGCGUGGGUAACCUGCCCUGUACACACGGAUAACAUACCGAAAGGUAUGCUAAUACGAGAUAAUAUACUUUUAUCGCAUGGUAGAAGUAUCAAAGCUCCGGCGGUACAGGAUGGACCCGCGUCUGAUUAGCUAGUUGGUAAGGUAACGGCUUACCAAGGCGACGAUCAGUAGCCGACCUGAGAGGGUGAUCGGCCACAUUGGAACUGAGACACGGUCCAAACUCCUACGGGAGGCAGCAGUGGGGAAUAUUGCACAAUGGGCGAAAGCCUGAUGCAGCAACGCCGCGUGAGCGAUGAAGGCCUUCGGGUCGUAAAGCUCUGUCCUCAAGGAAGAUAAUGACGGUACUUGAGGAGGAAGCCCCGGCUAACUACGUGCCAGCAGCCGCGGUAAUACGUAGGAGGCGAGCGUUAUCCGGAAUUACUGGGCGUAAAGGGUGCGUAGGUGGUUUCUUAAGUCAGAGGUGAAAGGCUACGGCUCAACCGUAGUAAGCCUUUGAAACUGGGAACUUGAGUGCAGGAGAGGAGAGUGGAAUUCCUAGUGUAGCGGUGAAAUGCGUAGAUAUUAGGAGGAACACCAGUUGCGAAGGCGGCUCUCUGGACUGUAACUGACACUGAGGCACGAAAGCGUGGGGAGCAAACAGGAUUAGAUACCCUGGUAGUCCACGCCGUAAACGAUGAGUACUAGCUGUCGGAGGUUACCCCCUUCGGUGGCGCAGCUAACGCAUUAAGUACUCCGCCUGGGAAGUACGCUCGCAAGAGUGAAACUCAAAGGAAUUGACGG